rnacentral:lncRNA from 1 species
UUUGAGGCCUAAAAGUCAUUCUCAGACAAGACAGAUAAAGAAAAAUCAUUAAGGGAAUCUUUGAUCUUUUUCAAUUCCUUGACUUACACAUUCCACAAUUGAUGAGAUGGGAUGCAUCUAAAUUUCUUGCUAUCACAUUGGUGAAGUCACUCUCUAAAUGUGGAGUAAAGGAGGUUGCGGUGAAAUGGAACAGGUUAUUAACGAAGAGAAAUAAAUUUAUGGAUAUCCUAAAAAACAAAAAGAAAAUACUCAACAGGCACAAUAUAUGGGCUAACGGCUGAAAUUUCAUAUAUAAUGGCAUGGCUAAGAAACUCCAAAAGUUAUAAAGCAUUUAAUUGUUGACAAGCCUAACAAAUCAAAACUGCCAAAUAUUAAAGAAGGUACACAUUAAGAAGGAGAAAACCAGUCAUACAAUAUUCUUUGAUGAAAAAUCAAGAAGUACCUGGACAAAUCUUUUGAUGAACCGAACGCUAGUUUUCUUGACAGUAGCAGCCAACAAAUCAGAGCUAUCACAGCUUGAAAAGAAUGUGUUCCGUUUAUUUCGUGCAAAACAGGUGAUGAUUGAAAGUGGCAGCAGGGUUAGAACUAAUGAUACAAUAUACGGGAGAAAUCAAUAAGUUGUGCUAACAUAGUAUCAGCAAUCUACUUGCAGCAUAUAUCCCAACCUAGUGAUACCAAGAAACCACUGUCAAUAUAAUGUCUCAUCCUAUACAAUUGAUGGGGUUUCUUGAGACUCAUAAGUGAUAAUGGCAUCAUAUCUGUUACAUGUAAUGUCACAACCCAGGAUUAAAAAGGCUUGCCAGAAGGUAUUAUUUGAGUUCCUUGAUCCUGUAUAAGUAGCCAAGAUCUAUCCAGCGAAUAACCGAUGUGGGACUAAACACAUAUCCGCACAGGUCCUCACAUACUCUCUCCAUUCAAAC